GUCCACGCCGUAAACGAUGUCGACUUGGAGGUUGUGCCCUUGAGGCGUGGCUUCCGGAGCUAACGCGUUAAGUCGACCGCCUGGGGAGUACGGCCGCAAGGUUAAAACUCAAAUGAAUUGACGGGGCCCGCACAAGCGGUGGAGCAUGUGGUUUAAUUCGAUGCAACGCGAAGAACCUUACCUACUCUUGACAUCCACGGAAUUUAGCAGAGAUGCUUUAGUGCCUUCGGGAACCGUGAGACAGGUGCUGCAUGGCUGUCGU
rnacentral:rRNA from 1 species